rnacentral:rRNA from 1 species
UGGUGCCAGCAGCCGCGGUAAUUCCAGCUCCAAUAGCGUAUAUUAAAGUUGUUGCAGUUAAAAUGCUCGUAGUUGAAUUUCGGGGUUAGUAGGUUGGUCAUGCCUCUGGUAUGUACUGGUCUCACUGAUUCCUCCUUCCUGAUGAACCGUAAUGCCAUUAAUUUGGUGUUGCGGGGAAUUUGGACUGUUACUUUGAAAAAAUUAGAGUGUUUAAAGCAAGCUAACGCUUGAAUACAUUAGCAUGGAAUAAUGAAAUAGGACGUUCGAUCCUAUUUUGUUGGUUUCUAGGAUUGACGUAAUGAUUAAUAGGGAUAGUUGGGGGCAUUAGUAUUCAAUUGUCAGGGGUGAAAUUCUUGGAUUUAUUGAAGACUAACUACUGCGAAAGCAUUUGCCAAGGAUGUUUUCAUUAAUCAAGAACGAAAGUUAGGGGAUCGAAGACGAUCAGAUACCGUCGUAGUCUUAACCAUAAACUAUGCCGACUAGGGA